AUGAGGGUCCUUAAAUUGGAAGAGAAAGUGAGAAGAAGUGAUCAGAGUGGUGUGAUGCGAGAAGAUCUCUGUUCAGGGUUUCUGGCUUUGAACAUUGAAAAAGUGACCACAAGCCAUGAACGCUCCCUCUCCCAACCUGUGCUGACUCAGCCACCCUCUGCAUCAGCCUCCCUGGGACAAACAGUCAAACUCACCUGCACCCUCAGCAGUGGCUACAAUAAUUAUGCAGUGAACUGGUACCAGCAAAGCCCAGGGAAGAGUCCCCGGUUUGUGAUGCGAGUGGGCACUAGUGGCAUUGUGGGAUCCAAGGGGGAUGGGAUUCCUGAUCGCUUCUCAGGCUCAGGCUCUGGCCUGGAUCGGUACCUGACCAUCCAGAACAUCCAGGAACAGGAUGAGAGUGUCUACCACUGUGGGGCAAACCAUGGGAUUGGGAGCAACUACAUGUAG